AACGAACGCUGGCGGCGCGCUUAACACAUGCAAGUCGAGCGGUAAGGCCCUUUCGGGGGUACGACGAGCGGCGAACGGGUGAGUAACACGUGGGUGACCUGCCCUCAGCUCUGGGAUAAGCCUGGGAAACCGGGUCUAAUACCGGAUAUGACUCCAUGACGCAUGUUGUGGGGUGGAAAGCCUUGUGCGGCUGAGGAUGGGCCCGCGGCCUAUCAGCUUGUUGGUGGGGUGAUGGCCUACCAAGGCGACGACGGGUAGCCGGCCUGAGAGGGCGACCGGCCACACUGGGACUGAGACACGGCCCAGACUCCUACGGGAGGCAGCAGUGGGGAAUCUUGCGCAAUGGGCGAAAGCCUGACGCAGCGACGCCGCGUGAGGGAUGACGGCCUG
rnacentral:rRNA from 1 species